UUGUGAAUCACUUCGCUUAUCAGAGUUCAUAUAGCGACCUUAACUUGAUUGGGACUGAGGUGCAGCUAUUGUUAUUCCUUAUACAUGACAAUAGGGCGUGUCUUUAGUAUUUUUGGUUUGAUUGUGUGCUAUUUGUAUUCGGUUUUUUGAUUUUGAAAAAAAAAAUCCAGUUAAAAAAAAUUAUGCAGUUUAGUCUUAGGUUUUUUAAUUUGCACUUUCUUCCUUUUGAUUGCUAUCAUCAUUAAUGUGUAUAUAGGUAUGGUAUCAAGCAAAAUAGUAUAAAUAGUAAAAUCUCAACAUACUUUAUAAAGUAUAUUAAAUGGAGAUUAGCAACUACAAAAUGAAUUAGACCAUAAACUUAUCGAGAUGUUUGUAUGCUUCCCCCAGAAAUAUAGGAAUAAAAGGAGUAUAUGUUUAGCAAACUCAUAAAAUAGAAGUAAUCUUACAUUCUGAAGUGUCCCUUUAAAGAUUUCCACAUGAUUAAUGAAUGUAGGUAAACAAAAUAGACUGCGAUCAGUGGCAAAGGCCAAGACCUGUAGUAUUCAACCCGCUUCUUCCCAAAAAGAGGGGAAAAUUGAGAAUAGAGAUCAAUUUUCAAGUCAUUUCAUGGAAUGACAAACAUUGCAAGUCACACCACAAUUGGUAAUUUUUGUAGAAGAUACAUAAUAUUCUUUCGGAAGAGAGUUACAAGGUAUGGACCCACUUUUGUUUUCACUUUCCAUCCAAAUGGGACCUUAGUACUGCUUUUGAUAAGUCAUUAUCUUCAAUCUCAAUGAAUGGAUGAAGUCAAAUACCCUGACAAAAAAAUUGCUUGCGUGUUACCCUUCUUUUUCUUUGUAGCUUCCUGGACUUGUACUCAGGGGUGGUCUAUUCCCAAGGGGGUGUCACGCAACCCGCAAGCUUCGAUUAAAACUUUGUAUGUAUAUAUAUGUAAGUAUAAAUAGAUCAAGUGUCACUUGCAAUAAUGAGUGAGGCAAGGAUUCCAUUGGCAAAAGUUUUAAAGUUUCUCCCAAGUGGUAGGAGUUCGAUUCCCCUGCCAACUUUAGUCAUUUUUUGCUUGCUAAACAUUACUGAUAUAUACAAAUAACACAUACUCCAUGUAUUCUAUUCUCUAUGGUUUAUUUUCCCUCGUGACCAAC